rnacentral:lncRNA from 1 species
CUGUGCGUUCGGGACGAGCCUCCCCCCCCCGAUAUUUCGUAAAGUGUCCACCACUUGCACACAGGGUGCACGUGGCUUAAAAGGUCUUAAAACUGUUUAUUCUACCGAUAAAUAAAGGGUUGUUUAUUGACUGGGAUUUCAAUAAGUCGAACUGGGAUUUCUAAUAAAAAUCCAACUGGGACUGGGAUUUUGCCAAAAUUUCAGGUGGGAAAUGGGAUUGGGACCCCCCCCCCCCCCUUCAGGACCCUCUGGUAUUGUAGUCUAAAACAGUCAUCCAGAUAUCGAUGAAUAAAACAUGCAUUUUGUCAAGAUUCCAAU